rnacentral:rRNA from 1 species
UACGGGGGGGGCAAGCGUUGUUCGGAAUUAGUGGGCGUAAAGGGCUCGUAGGUGGCCAACUAAGUCAGACGUGAAAUCCCCAGGCUCAACUUGGGAACUGCGUCUGAUACUGGAUGGCUUGAAUUCGGGAGAGGGAUGCAGAAUUCCAGGUGUAGCGGUGAAAUGCGUAGAUAUCUGGAGGAAUACCGGUGGCGAAGGCGGCAUCCUGGACCGAGAUUGACACUGAUGAGCGAAAGCUAGGGGAGCAAACAGG